GUGGGGUUGUAGGGGCGCAAGGAAGCGGGAGGGUGGAGGCGAGGGCCGGGGGUGGGGCGCCUCCGCCCGCCAGCCGCUCCCGCAUUAAAAUUUCAUGGGCGCUGCAGCAGCUACAAAGACGACGCCGGCUGCGCUCGGGGGACCAGAGGGAGGGAGGCUGCGGACGAGUGCGGGGAGGAGUUUGAGAUGGGAGGCGCUUGCAGGGGCUCCCCCAGUUCUGCGCUGUGAGCCGGGGCACAAAGAGCCCUCUGCACUCGCGCCGCAGGACCGCGGACCCGAGUUGGAGGCAUCUGUCCAACCAUGUGGUUCCAGACACGUUCAUGUGGCCACCAUGACCCUGUUUGCAUCACAGGAGUAACCAAGAGAGCAGCAAGUUCCUGGGACAGAGGAGACAGAAGGGAAUUUCCCGGUUCUUCAGGAUGUUCACAACCACACUGAGAAGCAUCCUUGCAGAUAAGUAUUUAAACUUACCAGGCCAUAGCCUACCAGCCUGCCCUCUUCUGGUCUGUGCAGGGAAGUGUAGUAUCCUAGAAUCCCAAAGUGGGAGGGGAAAUGGGUGAUGUAGCUCAUUCUCUUUUCUGAGUCUAUGGAAGAAAGAAAGAGCUUGUCCCCAUUUUGUGGGGUCCCAGAAAGGGUGAUUUUCACACUCCACAUUCGGCAUUAGGGCUAGUAUUUUAUAAACGUCACCGUCUGGAACUUUUGAAGGCUGAGUUAAAUGACUUCACCUUGUGUACUUGUAGAACUGCUAUUAGGAGGAAGCUGGGGACUCCCUGGUAAUGUGAACUAGCCCUUUUCAAUUUUGGUGUUUUGUGAUCAUAUUUAUAAACCUUGGCUAGAGCUCCUUGGCCUUGCAGUUAAGUGAAGAGUUAGCAGUGUGACUUUAGAUGCAUUUUUCUCAGUGCAAGUGUCUGAGUUCACCUCCAGUUCUGAACUCAUGCCCCCACUCCCAGGUGCUGACAGAAAGCUUUGAAGAUAUGCUGAGAUGGCUCCCUGACAAUCCUGAUUCAGGUCUGUCAGUUGAUGAAGACAGCGUAGUUGUCACCAAAGGCAAAACCUGGCAGAUGGUCCUGGGUCAGGAUUAGUGGUCAUUCUCUGGUCUUCUCCAGACUGGUGACACAGGGUGGUCUUAAAAGAGUCCUACUCCAGCCUCUGGCUCCCCGAAUUUCCUCUGGUGCAUGGGGCAUCAGGAAAGGGCAGGGGAGAAGGAGGGGGAGCAGAAAAAUCACUGCUGGGCAGCAGGGUCCCUUCCAUUUCCCCAUCCAUUGCU